GAGACACCCCUAUGGAGCAGGCCUUUCUUCAGUGGGACUUCGGUACUCACUGAGUCUGCCCCUUGAGUGUGUCACU
rfam:Myotis brandtii contig263352, whole genome shotgun sequence.